rnacentral:rRNA from 1 species
UACAGAGGUCCCGAAGCGUUGUUCGGAUUCAUUGGGCGUAAAGGGUGCGUAGGUGGCAUGGUUAGUCGGGUGUGAAAUCCCGGGGCUCAACCCCGGAACUGCAUUCGAUACUGCCUGGCUUGGGUACUGGAGAGGAGACUGGAGUUUACGGUGUAGCAGUGAAAUGCGUAGGAUAAUCGUAAGGAAGACCAGUGGCGAAGGCGAGUCUCUGGACAGUUACCGACGCUGAGGCACGAAGGUCAGGGGAGCAAACGGG